CAUGUGUAAGUCUUUCACUUCCUUGGUCAUAUUUAUUCCUAGGUAUAUUUUUGCUUUGGGUGCAAUUUUAAAGGGGAUUGUUUCUUUACAUUCUUUUCCUGUUGAUUCAUCAUUAAUCUAAAGAAAUGCAACUGAUUUUUGUAAAUUAAUUUUGU